rnacentral:rRNA from 1 species
GGUGAGUAAUGUCUGGGAAACUGCCUGAUGGAGGGGGAUAACUACUGGAAACGGUAGCUAAUACCGCAUAACGUCGCAAGACCAAAGAGGGGGACCUUCGGGCCUCUUGCCAUCGGAUGUGCCCAGAUGGGAUUAGCUUGUUGGUGGGGUAACGGCUCACCAAGGCGACGAUCCCUAGCUGGUCUGAGAGGAUGACCAGCCACACUGGAACUGAGACACGGUCCAGACUCCUACGGGAGGCAGCAGUGGGGAAUAUUGCACAAUGGGCGCAAGCCUGAUGCAGCCAUGCCGCGUGUAUGAAGAAGGCCUUCGGGUUGUAAAGUACUUUCAGCGGGGAGGAAGGGAGUAAAGUUAAUACCUUUGCUCAUUGACGUUACCCGCAGAAGAAGCACCGGCUAACUCCGUGCCAGCAGCCGCGGUAAUACGGAGGGUGCAAGCGUUAAUCGGAAUUACUGGGCGUAAAGCGCACGCAGGCGGUUUGUUAAGUCAGAUGUGAAAUCCCCGGGCUCAACCUGGGAACUGCAUCUGAUACUGGCAAGCUUGAGUCUCGUAGAGGGGGGUAGAAUUCCAGGUGUAGCGGUGAAAUGCGUAGAGAUCUGGAGGAAUACCGGUGGCGAAGGCGGCCCCCUGGACGAAGACUGACGCUCAGGUGCGAAAGCGUGGGGAGCAAACAGGAUUAGAUACCCUGGUAGUCCACGCCGUAAACGAUGUCGACUUGGAGGUUGUGCCCUUGAGGCGUGGCUUCCGGAGCUAACGCGUUAAGUCGACCGCCUGGGGAGUACGGCCGCAAGGUUAAAACUCAAAUGAAUUGACGGGGGCCCGCACAAGCGGUGGAGCAUGUGGUUUAAUUCGAUGCAACGCGAAGAACCUUACCUGGUCUUGACAUCCACGGAAGUUUUCAGAGAUGAGAAUGUGCCUUCGGGAACCGUGAGACAGGUGCUGCAUGGCUGUCGUCAGCUCGUGUUGUGAAAUGUUGGGUUAAGUCCCGCAACGAGCGCAACCCUUAUCCUUUGUUGCCAGCGGUCCGGCCGGGAACUCAAAGGAGACUGCCAGUGAUAAACUGGAGGAAGGUGGGGAUGACGUCAAGUCAUCAUGGCCCUUACGACCAGGGCUACACACGUGCUACAAUGGCGCAUACAAAGAGAAGCGACCUCGCGAGAGCAAGCGGACCUCAUAAAGUGCGUCGUAGUCCGGAUUGGAGUCUGCAACUCGACUCCAUGAAGUCGGAAUCGCUAGUAAUCGUGGAUCAGAAUGCCACGGUGAAUACGUUCCCGGGCCUUGUACACACCGCCCGUCACACCAUGGGAGUGGGUUGCAAAAGAAGUAGGUAGCUUAACCUUCGGGAGGGCGCUUACCACUUUGUGAUUCAUGACUGGGGUGAAGUCGUAACAAGGUAACCGUAGGGGAACCUGCGGUUGGAUCACCUCCUUACCUUAAAGAAGC